UGAAUCCGGUGAACGUGUCGAUUCAGUAGAGCUCGUGCUGGUAAAUAAACGCGAUGAAUCGGUCUCGAGUUCAUGUUCAUCUAGAGACGGCUGUGCAUGCCGUAAAUCAUCAGAGAUCGUGUUCUGUGAAGCACGCGAUGCCAAGGACGGGAUUUGGAUAACUUUGGCAACCAGCGGACAACAAAUAAAAGGCAUAAAUUACGCUCGAUAUUACAUAAUAAUGACAGAUCAUUUUAACUUUUUCUGAAUUCAGUUUAAUUCGGCUAUCAACACGCAUGCGUAAAUAAAAAAAAAAUAUAUAUAUAUAUAUAUAUAUAUAUAUAUAUAUAUAUAUAUAUAUAUAUAUAUA